AGUGAACGCUGGCGGUAGGCCUAACACAUGCAAGUCGAACGGCAGCACAGUAAGAGCUUGCUCUUACGGGUGGCGAGUGGCGGACGGGUGAGGAAUACAUCGGAAUCUACUUUUUCGUGGGGGAUAACGUAGGGAAACUUACGCUAAUACCGCAUACGACCUACGGGUGAAAGCAGGGGAUCUUCGGACCUUGCGCGAUUGAAUGAGCCGAUGUCGGAUUAGCUAGUUGGCGGGGUAAAGGCCCACCAAGGCGACGAUCCGUAGCUGGUCUGAGAGGAUGAUCAGCCACACUGGAACUGAGACACGGUCCAGACUCCUACGGGAGGCAGCAGUGGGGAAUAUUGGACAAUGGGCGCAAGCCUGAUCCAGCCAUACCGCGUGAGUGAAGAAGGCCUUCGGGUUGUAAAGCCCUUUUGUUGGGAAAGAAAAGCAGCAGAUUAAUACCCCGCUGUUCUGACGGUACCCAAAGAAUAAGCACCGGCUAACUUCGUG
rnacentral:rRNA from 1 species